rnacentral:rRNA from 1 species
CAGCAGCCACGGUAAUACGUAGGUGGCAAGCGUUGUCCGGAUUUAUUGGGCGUAAAGCGAGCGCAGGCGGUCAAUUAAGUCCGAUGUGAAAGCCCCCGGCUCAACCGGGGAGGAUCAUUGGAAACUGGUUGACUUGAGUGCAGAAGAGGAGAGUGGAAUUCCAUGUGUAGCGGUGAAAUGCGUAGAUAUAUGGAGGAACACCAGUGGCGAAGGCGACUCUCUGGUCUGUAACUGACGCUGAGGCUCGAAAGCGUGGGUAGCAAACAGGAUUAGAUACCCCGGUAGUCCCUGUCUCUUAUAA